rnacentral:misc_RNA from 1 species
GAUGAAGAACGUAGCGAAAUGCGAUAAGUAAUGUGAAUUGCAGAAUUCAGUGAAUCAUCGAAUCUUUGAACGCACCUUGCGCCCUUUGGCCAUUCCGAAGGGCAUGCCUGUUUGAGUAUCAUGAACACCUCAACUCUUCAUGGUUUUCCGUGAUGAGCUUGGACUUUGGGGGUCUUGCUGGCCUAUGGUCAGCUCCUCUAAAAUAAAUCAGCUUGCCAGUGUUUGGUGGGUAUCACAGGUGUGAUAACUAUCUACGCUUGUGGUUUUCCACCAGGUAACCUUCAGCAGUGGAGGUUCGCUGGAGCUCACAGAUGUGUCUCUCCUCAGUGAGGACAGCUCUUUGAAUGUUUGAUCUCAAAUCAGGUAGGACUACCCGCUGAACCUAAGCAUAUCAAUAAGCGGAGGA